rnacentral:rRNA from 1 species
GUCCACGCCGUAAACGAUGUGUACUAGAUAUUGGAGAUAUUGACUCUUCAGUGUCGUAGCUAACGCAAUAAGUACACCGCCUGGGAAGUACGGUCGCAAGACUAAAACUCAAAGGAAUUGACGGGGGCCCGCACAAGCGGUGGAUUAUGUGGUUUAAUUCGAAGCAACGCGCAGAACCUUACCUAGGCUUGAAAUCCCGAGAAGAUCGACCAAAAUUGAUUGUGCUCUUCGGAGAACUCGGUGACAGGCGCUGCAUGGCU